UAGGGGAAAAAGCUACAAAAUCCGAUUGUGCUUGCACAAUGAGGAUUUUGAGCUUGAGACCCGCAAAACCAUGAGGAUGCAGCGAUUUUCAAAGAAAAUCAGCGAAUCCGAAUGGUUUUAGAAUUGCGAGAAUUGCGAAGCAAUGAAGCAAUUUA
rnacentral:sRNA from 1 species